rnacentral:rRNA from 1 species
UACGUAGGAGACGAGCGUUGUCCGGAGUUACUGGGCGUAAAGGGUGCGCAGGUGGCGGCGCGCGUGGGGGGUGAAAUCGCCCGGCUUAACUGGGCGGGGGCCUUCCAGACGGCGUGGCUUGAGCAGCGGAGGGGGACGUGGAAUUCCGGGUGGAGCGGUGAAAUGCGCAGACAUCAGGAGGAACACCGGUGGCGAAGGCGGGUCUCUGGGUAGUAACUGACGCUGAGGAACGAAAGCGUGGGUAGCGAACAGG